rnacentral:rRNA from 1 species
AUUGAACGCUGGCGGCAUGCUUUACACAUGCAAGUCGAACGGUAACAGGCCGCAAGGUGCUGACGAGUGGCGAACGGGAGAGUAAUGCAUCGGAACGUGCCCAGUCGUGGGGGAUAACGCAGCGAAAGCUGCGCUAAUACCGCAUACGAUCUCUGGAUGAAGGCGGGGGACCGAGAGGCCUCGCGCGAUUGGAGCGGCCGAUGUCAGAUUAGGUAGUUGGUGGGGUAAAGGCCCACCAAGCCAACGAUCUGUAGCUGGUCUGAGAGGACGACCAGCCACACUGGGACUGAGACACGGCCCAGACUCCUACGGGAGGCAGCAGUGGGGAAUUUUGGACAAUGGGCGCAAGCCUGAUCCAGCAAUGCCGCGUGCAGGAAGAAGGCCUUCGGGUUGUAAACUGCUUUUGUACGGAACGAAACGGUCCGGGCUAAUACCCUGGGCUAAUGACGGUACCGUAAGAAUAAGCACCGGCUAACUACGUGCCAGCAGCCGCAGUAA